GGGGAGAGGCAGCAGGUGGAAAGGAGGGCCUGUGGAGUGUGGAGUUCCGGAGUUUGGAGCCCCGACCCCCGCGAGUGAAGGCGGAACCAAAGCCCUGAAGGCGCGAUCUGAACAGCGGCCACUAGAGGACAAGCUUACUUCGUGCUGUGACCAGUUAGCAACCAGCUGCUGUAAUUCAGAGCAUGGUUUGGCAACAAAGGUGACGUCAGCAGAGGGGACACGGGUUGAAUCCCUGGUUCAGGAAGAUCCCACAUGCCGCGGAACAGCUAAGCCCGUGUGCCACGACUACUGAGCCUGCGCUGUAGAGCCCACGAGCCACAACUACUGAGCCCACCUGCCACAACUACUGAAGCCCGUGCUCCUAGAGCCCUGCUCCACAACAAGAGAAGCCACCGCAAUGAGAAGCCUGCACGCAGCAAUGAAGAGUAGCCCCCCAGUCACUGCAACUAGAGAAAACAGCAACAAAGACCCA